UAUAUAUAUAUAUAUAUAGGCUAAGUGAGUAACCUAAGUUUAGUUAAAAUUGAGCCAAUAUUGCUGGGCCAUAAGAACAAACCCAAUAUGCCAACAAAAAGGUAAAAUUUUACUAAAUUUACACUCUCUCUCUCAUUUUCUUUUACAAAGCCUUAAAUUCUCUCUCUCUCUCUCUCUCUCUCUCUCUCCUCAAGCGGCCAAACCUGAAGCCCCCCAAGUUAUCAAGUAACAGCACGCGCCCGCUGUUGCCUACCUUGCCAUUAAUUGUGUGCUUGAGAAAAUAUAUAGAAUAUUUUUAAGGUAGAAAAUUAUUAUUUAUAUAAAAUUUUGAUUUUAGUUAUAUAUAAUUAAAUAGUUUAAUCUAAUAUUUGUCUAUAUAAUUUAUUCAUUUUUUGACCGCAUAGGUGAAAAAGAAUAAUAUGGAAAUUGAAGGCGAAAGAGAAUACAUGCGAAGCUGAAAAAAUUAGAUAUUCAACUCGUAAAUUAUUUUUCUUUACAUUAUAAUACCGUAUUUCAUAUAAUUAUUUUGUAUCUUGAACUAUUAGAUAUAUUUUUGUAUCAAAUUAUAAAUAAUGUUCUAUACAAAUUAAACUAUUAAUCGUACAAUGUUGAGAAUUUCAAGCCGCUCGCUUAGGGCUCGAGCUCGCUCGACUCGAAAUUAGGCUCGCUCGAGCUCGGCUCGAAUUAAUUUCAAGCCGAGCUUGAGCUUAAAUUUAGACUCGAAAUUAAUUUUAAGCCGAAUUUGAGCUGAGGCAAGCUCGCUCGGGCUCGGCUCGUUU
rnacentral:lncRNA from 1 species